UGGUGGUGGCUUUAAUCCCAGCACUUGGGAAGCAGAGGCAGGCAGAUUUCUGAGUUCCAGGACAGCCUGGUCUACAGAGUGAGUUCCAGGACAGCCUGGGCUACACAGAGAAACCCUGUCUCGGAAAAACCAAAAAAAAAAAAAAAAGGUAUAAGUAUAGGUAUAGGUAUAGAUUUUUGAGACAGGGUUUCUCUGUGUAGUCUUAGCUGUCCUAGAACCAGCUCUGUAGACCCGCUGGUCUCAAACCACCUGCCUCU
rnacentral:sRNA from 1 species